rnacentral:rRNA from 1 species
GAUGAACGCUGGCGGCGUGCUUAACACAUGCAAGUCGAACGAAGCACCUUGAUUCGAUUCUUCGGAUGAAGAUCUUGGUGACUGAGUGGCGGACGGGUGAGUAACGCGUGGGUAACCUGCCUCAUACAGGGGGAUAACAGUUAGAAAUGACUGCUAAUACCGCAUAAGACCACAGCACCGCAUGGUGCAGGGGUAAAAACUCCGGUGGUAUGAGAUGGACCCGCGUCUGAUUAGGUAGUUGGUGGGGUAACGGCCUACCAAGGCGACGAUCAGUAGCCGAGCGGAGAGGGUGACCGGCCACGUUGGGACUGAGACACGGCCCAAACUCCUACGGGAGGCAGCAGUGGGGAAUAUUGCACAAUGGGGGAAAACCUGAUGCAGCGACGCCGCGUGAGCGAUGAAGUAUUUCGGUAUGUAAAGCUCUAUCAGCAGGGAAGAAAAUGACGGUACCUGACUAAGAAGCACCGGCUAAAUACGUG